rnacentral:rRNA from 1 species
UUUAGAACGUCGUGAGACAGUUCGGUCCCUAUCUGCCGUGGGCGCUGGAGAACUGAGGGGGGCUGCUCCUAGUACGAGAGGACCGGAGUGGACGCAUCACUGGUGUUCGGGUUGUCAUGCCAAUGGCACUGCCCGGUAGCUAAAUGCGGAAGAGAUAAGUGCUGAAAGCAUCUAAGCACGAAACUUGCCCCGAGAUGAGUUCUCCCUGAGACUUWAAGUCUCCUGAAGGAACGUUGAAGACGACGACGUUGAUAGGCCGGGUGUGUAAGCGCAGCGAUGCGUUGAGCUAACCGGUACUAAUGAACCGUGAGGCUUAACCUU